rnacentral:rRNA from 1 species
UACGGGGGGGGCAAGCGUUGUUCGGAAUUACUGGGCGUAAAGGGCGCGUAGGCGGUUUGAUAAGUCAGCUGUGAAAACCCCGGGCUUAACUCGUGGCCUGCAGUUGAGACUGGCAGGCUUGAGUGUGGGAGAGGAGAGUGGAAUUCCUGGUGUAGCGGUGAAAUGCGUAGAUAUCAGGAGGAACACCGGUGGCGAAGGCGGCUCUCUGGACCUCAACUGACGCUGAGGCGCGAAAGCUAGGGGAGCAAACAGG